UGGGAAUUUGGACAAUGGGCGAAAGCCUGAUCCAGCAAUGCCGCGUGUGUGAAGAAGGCCUUCGGGUUGUAAAGCACUUUUGUCCGGAAAGAAAUCCUUGGCUCUAAUACAGUCGGGGGAUGACGGUACCGGAAGAAUAAGCACCGGCUAACUACGUGCCAGCAGCCGCGGUAAUACGUAGGGUGCAAGCGUUAAUCGGAAUUACUGGGCGUAAAGCGUGCGCAGGCGGUUUGCUAAAGACCGAUGUGAAAUCCCCGGGCUCAACCUGGGAACUGCAUUGGUGACUGGCAGGCUAGAGUAUGGCAGAGGGGGGUAGAAUUCCACGUGUAGCAGUGAAAUGCGUAGAGAUGUGGAGGAAUACCGAUGGCGAAGGCAGCCCCCUGGGCAAUACUGACGCUCAUGCACG
rnacentral:rRNA from 1 species